CACGUAGGGCGCGAGCGUUGUCCGGAAUUAUUGGGCGUAAAGAGCUCGUAGGCGGCCUGUUGCGUCCGCUGUGAAAGCCCGGGGGCUUAACCCCGGGUCGGCAGUGGAUACGGGCAGGCUAGAGGUAGGUAGGGGAGAAUGGAAUUCCCGGUGUAGCGGUGAAAUGCGCAGAUAUCGGGAGGAACACCGGUGGCGAAGGCGGAUCUCUGGGCCUAACUGACGCUGAGGAGCGAAAGCAUGGGGAGCGAACAGG
rnacentral:rRNA from 1 species